CGUAGCGCGCCAGCCAGCCGUGCCCGGAGCCCGAGCGCAGCCUCGAGGUCUCACCUGAGGUGCCCCUGACCGUUCCUGUCCCCCACCCCGGAUCCCGGCAAUGCUAACCGCUGUCUGCGGCUCUCUGGGCAGCCAGCACACGGACGCGCCUCACGCCUCCCCGCCGCGCCUCGACCUGCAGCCUCUCCAAACAUACCAGGGCCACACGAGCCCGGAGGCCGGGGACUACCCCUCCCCGCUGCAGCCUGGAGAGCUGCAGAGCCUCCCGCUGGGUCCUGAGGUGGACUUCUCACAGGGCUAUGAGCUCCCGGGGGCCUCCUCUCGGGUAACCUGCGAGGACCUGGAAAGCGACAGUCCCUUGGCCCCGGGACCCUUUUCCAAGCUCCUGCAGCCGGACAUGUCACACCAUUAUGAAUCGUGGUUCCGGCCGACUCAUCCAGGCACCGAGGAUGGCUCAUGGUGGGACCUUCAUCCCGGCACCAGCUGGAUGGACCUCCCCCACACUCAGGGCGCGCUGACCUCACCUGGCCACCCAGGGGCGCUUCAGGCUGGUUUGGGGGGCUACGUCGGAGACCACCAACUUUGUGGUCCACCACCCCACCCACAUCCGCACCACCUCCUCCCAGCCGCUGGAGGGCAGCACCUCCUGGGACCUCCCGACGGGGCAAAGGCCUUGGAAGCUGCGGCUCCGGAGGCUCCGGGGCUGGAUUCCAGUCUGGACGGUAUAGCCCGGCCCAAAGGCUCCCGGCGGUCAGUGCCCCGGAGCUCAGGCCAGACCGUGUGCCGUUGCCCUAACUGCCUGGAGGCGGAGCGACUGGGGGCUCCGUGCGGACCCGACGGGGGCAAGAAGAAGCAUUUGCACAACUGCCACAUCCCAGGCUGCGGGAAAGCCUAUGCCAAAACGUCGCACCUGAAGGCGCACCUGCGCUGGCACAGCGGCGACCGUCCCUUCGUGUGCAACUGGCUCUUCUGCGGCAAGCGCUUCACGCGCUCGGAUGAGCUGCAGCGCCACCUCCAGACCCACACGGGCACCAAGAAGUUCCCCUGUGCGGUCUGCAGCCGAGUCUUCAUGCGCAGCGACCACCUGGCGAAACACAUGAAAACCCACGAGGGCGCCAAAGAAGAGGCUGCCGGGGCGGCCACAGGCGAGGGCAAGGCCGGCGGAGCGGUGGAGCCCUCUGGGGGCAAAGGCAAGCGGGAGGCGGAGGGCAGCGCUGCUGCCUCCAAUUGAGCUCCUCGGUACCGCCUCCCCGCUGGUCUCCCCUGGGGGCAUCAGAAGAGAGCACCCUGGCCUGAUGCCCUUGGGGAGCGGCUUAAAAGGAGAAGACCCCGUCUGAUGGAGCCAUGAAGGAAGAGGGGAAGAGGGCCAGAAUCCGAGACAGCUUCCCAGCCAGAACUGUGGGGGGAGGAGAG